CCUACGGGAGGCUGCAGUGAGGAAUAUUGGUCAAUGGACGAGAGUCUGAACCAGCCAAGUAGCGUGAAGGAUGACUGCCCUAUGGGUUGUAAACUUCUUUUAUAUGGGAAUAAAAUGUUCCACGUGUGGGAUUUUGUAUGUACCAUAUGAAUAAGGAUCGGCUAACUCCGUGCCAGCAGCCGCGGUAAUACGGAGGAGCCGCGCGUUCUCCGGAUUUAUUGGGUUUAAAGGGAGCGUAGGUGGAGUGUUAAGUCAGGUGUUAAAGUUUGCGGCUCAACCGUAACAUUGCAGUUGAAACUGGCAGUCUUGAGUACAGAAGAGGUGGGCGGAAUUCGUGGUGUAGCGGUGAAAUGCUUAGAUAUCACGAAGAACCCCGAUUGCGAAGGCAGUUCACUGGACUGCAACUGACACUGAGGCUCGAAAGUGUGGGUAUCAAACAGGAUUAGAUACCCCAGUAGUC
rnacentral:rRNA from 1 species